GCUAGCUUCACUGUGGUGACUGUGAUACUGUUAUUCUGCGCGACCAACGGAAAGCGUUCACAAAGAGAGAAACUAAGAAACAAGAACAAUUAUUUAAAUCAACCUCAUAAAACCAAGUUUGACGACCAAUUGCUGCACAAACAAAUAAAGACUUUGAAAGCAGACAAUAACGCAUGUUCCGGGAACAUCAAUAAUCAACCGAAUAUCUUCAGUCAAACAGAUGAAUCACUCAACCCAUUCAACGAUGGAGAUAGUUUUGCUCUAAUUAGACGGGACAUCAAUGAAAAAAUGGAACUUACAGAGUUGCUCAACAAGUGGGAAAUUCUAAAGACGCAAGAUGGACUCUUCGAACACUUUAAGAAUCUAACAGAAACUGACAUCCAAACUAUGACUCCAAAGCUCAGGGAUAAAUACAGUUAUGCUUUACUUUGCAUGCAUGAAGAAAGAAUUCGAAGGAGAAAAAGACCUGGAGAAAUUCAUAAAAGCGAUUUGCCACUAUUUCAAGGAAGAUGCUGACACAAUUUUGCAACACCGAGAGAUCAAUUCGCAAAAUCUCAUGACGUCACAUCCUGGGGUUUAUAAUAGAAAACACAGGAGAUCACAUGAUAUUCUACAAAGGGCAGGAGAUUCAGAAAGGAGCAAAUAUCUGGGAAGCGUUUGAAAUAAUGUUCGCAAUGUAUUACAUUUUCAAUGAAUGCUUUCCCAGAGAGAUUGCUUGCACACUGGAAUUUUUCCAGCGAUACGUGUUAAAAAUACAUCCAACAGAUGGAACAAAAAAUAUGAAAAGAAGUGUGUCCAAUGUAAUAUGAAAGUUUUGGGCUUAAUGAAGAAAAUAAAAAAAAUAUUUUUUUGUGAACAAUGCGUGUUUGUACUUUUAAAAUUUUAAAACAUUCAAAAUUAAACAAAUUUUGAAUUAAACAAAAAAAAAUCAACAAAUUUUAAAUUAAACAACUGAAAAUUAAACAAUUUGAGAAUUAAACAAAAAAAAUUAAACAACUUUAAAAUUAAACAAAAAAAAUUCAACAAUAUUAAAAUUCAACAAAUUGAAAUUCAACAAUUUUUAA